UACGUAGGGGGCUAGCGUUGUCCGGAUUUAUUGGGCGUAAAGAGCGUGUAGGCGGCCAGGUAGGUCUGCUGUGAAAACUCGAGGCUCAACCUCGAGACGUCGGCGGAAACCAUCUGGCUAGAGUCCGGUAGGGGAGUGUGGAAUUCCCGGUGUAGCGGUGAAAUGCGCAGAUAUCGGGAGGAACACCAGUAGCGAAGGCGACACUCUGGGCCGGUACUGACGCUGAGGAGCGAAAGCGUGGGGAGCAAACAGG
rnacentral:rRNA from 1 species